rnacentral:tRNA from 1 species
GGGUGAGUGAGGAAAGCCGCCGCUGGCUGGCAUCGUGCGGCCUGACGGUGGCACCUCCCUUACAAGGAGGGGGUCGGCGGUUCGAUCCCGUCAUCACCCACCA